GAAGGGUUGUAUUUAUUAGAUUAAAAACCAAUGCCCUCUGGGCUCACUGGUGAAUCAUGAUAACUUCGCGAAUCGCAUGGCCUUGUGCCGGCGAUGGCUCAUUCAAAUUUCUUCCCUAUCAACUUUCGAUGUUUGGGUAGUGGCCAAACAUGGUUGCAACGGGUAACGGAGGGUUAGGGCUCGACCCCGGAGAAGGAGCCUGAGAAACGGCUACUACAUCCAAGGAAGGCAGCAGGCGCGCAAAUUACCCAAUCCCGAUUCGGGGAGGUAGUGACAAUAAAUACUGAUACAGGGCUCUUUUGGGUCUUGUAAUUGGAAUGAGUACAAUUUAAAUCCCUUAACGAGGAACAAUUAGAGGGCAAGUCUGGUGCCAGCAGCCGCGGUAAUUCCAGCUCUAAUAGCGUAUAUUAAAGUUGUUGUGGUUAAAAAGCUCGUAGUUGAACCUUGGGCCUGGCUGGCGGGUCCGCCUCACCGCGUGUACUUCGCCGGCCGGGCCUUUCCCUCUGUGGAACCCUAUGCCCUUCACUGGGUGUGGUGGGGAAACAGGACUUUUACUUUGAAAAAAUUAGAGUGCUCCAGGCAGGCCUAUGCUCGAAUAUAUUAGCAUGGAAUAAUAAAAUAGGACGUGUGGUUCUAUUUUGUUGGUUUCUAGGACCGCCGUAAUGAUUAAUAGGGACAGCCGGGGGCAUCAGUAUUCAAUUGUCAGAGGUGAAAUUCUUGGAUUUAUUGAAGACUAACUACUGCGAAAGCAUUUGCCAAGAAUGUUUUCAUUAAUCAGGAACGAAAGUUAGGGGAUCGAAGACGAUCAGAUACCGUC
rnacentral:rRNA from 2 species